rnacentral:rRNA from 1 species
ACUCCUACGGGAGGCAGCAGUGGGGAAUAUUGCACAAUGGGCGCAAGCCUGAUGCAGCCAUGCCGCGUGUGUGAAGAAGGCCUUCGGGUUGUAAAGCACUUUCAGUCGUGAGGAAGGUGGUAGUGUUAAUAGCACUAUCAUUUGACGUUAGCGACAGAAGAAGCACCGGCUAACUCCGUGCCAGCAGCCGCGGUAAUACGGAGGGUGCGAGCGUUAAUCGGAAUUACUGGGCGUAAAGCGCAUGCAGGUGGUUGUUAAGUCAGAUGUGAAAGCCCGGGGCUCAACCUCGGAAUAGCAUUUGAAACUGGCAGACUAGAGUACUGUAGAGGGGGUUAGAAUUUCUAGGUGUAGCGGUGAAAUGCGUAGAGAUCUGAAGGAAUACCGGUGGCGAAGGCGGCCCCUGGACAGAUACUGACACUCAGAUGCGAAAGCGUGGGAGCAAACAGGAUUAGAUACCCCGUGUAGACUGUCA